rnacentral:rRNA from 1 species
UACGGAGGUGGCAAGCGUUGCUCGGAAUCACUGGGCGUAAAGGGCGCGUAGGCGGGGAGGUAAGUCGGGUGUGAAAUCCCUCGGCCCAACCGAGGAACUGCGCCCGAGACUGCUUCUCUUGAGUCCCGGAGAGGAAGAUGGAAUUCCCGUUGUAGCGGUGAAAUGUGUAGAGAUCGGGAGGAACACCGGUGGCGAAGGCGGUCUUCUGGACGGUGACUGACGCUGAGGCGCGAAAGCGUGGGGAGCAAACGGG